UUUCCUUGGGUGUGGAUCCUUCUUGGGCAUCCUGUCUAUUGGUGUGAGAUGUCACACCAUCACAUCUCAUCCCUCGAUUGAUUGAGUUAUGAAGCCAAUUGGAUUGGAGUUCAUCCUGCUUUCCUACGAUGUCUGACGUGCAUGCGAAGUAGAGGGUCUGCAUAUCCAGGCCUCCACAAAGAUUUAUAUCAGAUAAUUUAGAAUUUGAUCUUUGGUUCUGCUACAAUUCAGGUAAGAAUUUAAUUCUUAAACAAGUAGAAUAUUAAAAAAAAAAUUUAGAUGCAAUCUGGGCAUUCUGG
rnacentral:lncRNA from 1 species